rnacentral:lncRNA from 1 species
GCACAGAAAGAGAGUACUUACCAUACUUAGGCAAAUAGAGUUUGGAGGGAAAAACAUUAUGCAAACCUUCCUUUUUUCUUUACAGCUAAUUUAAACUGGUGGAUGUCUAAAGUCCAAGCUUGGAGUGCUUUUCACUUCCAAGGCUUUAGAAUAAAGCACUUUAUUUUUCUUCUUGAUGCAUGGUUAGAUCUUCUCACAACCUGGCUUACACUUGGCAUACUUAACCCUGCUGAAAGUGCUUCCUAUAUUGGUUCAAAAUUGAGAAGAAAGAAGAAAACAAAGUUGAUGGAGGAAGAGAGGGACAUUCAUUUCUGCUCUGCCAUAAAUCUCAUCUGGGCUCUCUUUUUGAUUUAAAAGAAAAUACCUGAAGGCCAAAUCACUUCUUCAUCCAUCUGGUUCUUCAGAAGAACUUAAGCUUGCUGUGGUGCAACCUCAAAUUUACAUUGUGAGUAAGCUAUGACAAAGAGUUAUCUUCUACUGUAUGUCCUACACCAUUGUCAUGAAAUCACAAAACUAACUGAAGUGCAGCUGUUGUGUUAUGUGAGCUGCAACAGCCCUAUAGUCUCCCUGAAAGACUUUCUUCUCUCCAGUGCUCCUGAAACCAUCUUCAUUUCCCUGUGCACAGCUUCUUGUACCACAAAGGCCUCCUUUGAAAAGACACUACAGGUGUCUGCUGAUGGAUAGUUAACUGCACCAGGACAUCACCAUCUGACCACACUCCUGAUCACAGGUGUAGUUUAUCAAAUUGUGGACAGGGCAGGUUUGUGUUUAACAAACCCUUUUGCUAUAAGAAGCCUGAUAAUGAAGGCACUCAAUUUGGCAUCUUCUUGUGCUGCUAGUUCAGUCUUUUGGGAAGGGGAAAGAGAAGGAGAAGCAUUUAAGACAGUUUGAUGCUCCACAGAGCAGCGUUAAUGAAAACUGAAGGCCAGAGGGAGGGAAGAGAAAUUACCAUCUCCUCAGGAAGGAGCUCAUCAGACUUCUCACCAGACAUGCCCUUGUUUUCUACUUGGUCUUGGUGGAACUGGAGAAUUUUUGAUAUUUGCCUAGGAUUUCCUCAUCCAGAAAGAAGAGCAGAGAGCUACUGUUCAGUGUUCAAAGGAAAUCUGUGGAUCGUAUCCCUAUUACACCUGAAAAUUCCAACCAUUUCUGGUGUCCACAGCUCUGUGCUUCCUGGAAGUGUUCAGCAAACCAAACAUGUUGGUCUUAAGGGCCUACACCAUGUAUGGCUUGACGUUUCCCAGAAACCUCAGGCUGAGUGUGUGUGUGCAGCACACACUGUCUGCACAUAUAUUUCUGUCUGGGAAAUGCCAGGUUCCACUCACCAUUGGCAAAUGCUCGUGCUUAAUGAGAAUUACUGUGCUGACAGAUCUUUGGCUGCUUUGAUUACAUGUGAACAGUAAAGACAUUAUUGUUCUCACUAGUGUGCCCAGACCCACAUGCUUGCCUGCCCGGGCUUGUUCCAUGCCACUGGAGUUCUGGUGGUCUGUGUGGCACACAUUUGUCUCAUCAUUUACCCGAGCUGGUUCAACAACCAAGCAGCAAGCCCAGUCCAUGCUCAGUUUAAUCUCUUAAGCACUAGCCAGCUUUAUUGUGCAUGCACCCACAAUGAUAUGGAGGAGAUAUAAAGAAAUAUUAAAGAAAGCUAUAAGUCUGGGUACAUUUUUAUAUGGAAGAAAGAAGUAUAAGCAUAGGAUUUUAUUGAUUUAAUUUCAUUUAAUUAAUUUAUGAAGAGCUCAGAAAUCAGAAUUCCAUAUUGAAGAGACAAUGGGGUGAAGCACACAACACUGCAGCCUUUUUCCAUUGAACACCGUUGUGAUGAUGCUAGCUUUAUACUGCAGAAAAACAAGAAGGAGCAGAUUAACAUGCUAGGAUAAUGACUGAAAUAUGUUUGGUAUUUCUGCAUUACUGACGGAGGACUUGCAGACCAUUAUUCUGCCAGCAAAUUGUUUCAGUUUCUCUGGCCUGGAAUAGUAAGGGGGGCAAAGGGUCUUUGCUUUGGAGAACAUCCGUUUUCCCACUGUACUGAAACAUACAGAACAGUAAGAAUUUAACAAAGUUAAUUGUUCCACCAGUCUUUGUUUUCCCAGGCCCUAUAUGAUCAGCCA